GCAGUGUACCCGCGGCAAGACGGAAAGACCCCGUGAACCUUUACUAUAGCUUGACACUGAACAUUGAGCCUUGAUGUGUAGGAUAGGUGGGAGGCUUUGAAGCGUGGACGCCAGUCUGCGUGGAGCCGACCUUGAAAUACCACCCUUUAAUGUUUGAUGUUCUAACGUGGACCCGUUACCCGGGUUGCGGACAGUGUCUGGUGGGUAGUUUGACUGGGGCGGUCUCCUCCUAAAGAGUAACGGAGGA
rnacentral:rRNA from 1 species